UUUCUCCCUGUAAUUCAAUCUGAUCAUUUCUUUCUCUCCCACCUACACCUCGCAAUGGCAUCCUCCGCCUUCUUCUCGGCACCGACCUUCUCAUCCGCCGCCACCACCCUCCAGAAGCACCUUCCCCACCAAUCCUUCCAAGGUCUCAGACCCCUCAGCAAGCCCACUGACCUCUCCCUCACCAUCCCCAGAAUGUCCACCAGACCCAUCCCCAAGAGGAGCGCCGGCGUGGUGAGAGCCGAGCUGAACACCUCUCUGGUGAUCAGCUUGAGCACUGGGCUAUCCCUCUUCCUUGGGAGGUUCGUCUUCUUCAACUUCCAGAGGGAGAACGUGGCCAAGCAAGUCCCUCAGCAGAACGGCUUGACCCACUUCGAGGCUGGCGACUCAAGGGCCAAGGAGUACGUAAGCCUCCUCAAAUCCAACGACCCUGUUGGUUUCAACAUCGUUGAUGUCCUGGCUUGGGGCUCCAUCGGCCACAUCGUGGCUUAUUACAUCCUUGCCACCUCCAGCAACGGCUAUGACCCCAAGUUCUUCGGCUGAUUUCAGUACCCCCUGUUGCUCUGUAAACUGUGUAUACAUGAUUGAUUAGUUGUUGGGAAAUGGAGCUCCUUCUUCUUCUUCCGUUUCUUUUUUUUUGUUGGUUGCUCUUGUC
rnacentral:lncRNA from 1 species